rnacentral:lncRNA from 1 species
CUUAUUUUUGCUAUCAUCGAGGAUUUUUUGCUGCAUGGACAGAUCUAGCAGUCAAACUGAAUUUAAUCUGACAGAUUGGGUGGCUCGUGUGCGGCCGGCCAAAAAUUUCGAUUGACGCGCCGGCGCAGUUCAGCGCCCUUUUAUGUUUUACCGCUGCCGCUUCUUUCUUCAGAUACUUUGGAUAAAAUGCAGUCGUCCAGCAAGUCAUUUUCUGGUGCCCAACAUUUACAUGGACUAAGGAAUGAUAAAGAUAGAGGCUUAAAUACCCG